UUCGGCGCUUUCACCGCUGCGGCCCGGGUUCGAUUCCCGGCCAGGGAAGCCUCUGCAAAAAUGUUUUUCUUUUUUUUCCCCUUCAGCGUCUCCACUGGCAGGCGUCUUCCUCUUCCUGCCCCGACCAGAGCUGUGUUUUGCUUCAAGGUUCAGAUGCAGACGAGCUUCUGCACUGAGUCCCCAAAUGCCGGCGAGUCCCGGCCUCAGGGUCCUUGACAUCGCGCAGGCUGGAGGACGUGAGAUGUAAUGAACAGCCUGGGCUGGCCGGCUCUCGCCUCGGCUCUUUUCCCCCUGCAUGUUACAAACCCGAAGUCUUAUUUACCGCGUUUUCAUCCCAAGAGAAUCGGAGACUCGAGUUCCAAACAUUCAUUAAGAACCACAACCAAAGCCCUUGGAAACAUACAAGAAAGUUGCAAGAGGAAUAACAUCGUAUAUUCUACCUAGUCAACAGGGUCCAGAGAAGACUGCCCAGAGUGACGUCUUUGACAACGUCCUGCCAAGCAACUUAUCCAAAGAGAAGAAUCUCGCUCAUCCCAGAGGUUUGAAAACGAAUAAAGGGAAACGUCACUCAGAUGAAGUCGGGAUACCAGAAGUGGGAGCUCUCAUGGGGUACCACUCAAGUUCAAAGACAGGAAGUAUCGUCAAUUACAAACCCAAACAGAAGAAGCAUCAGCAGGAAGAAUCCUCGAUUACAGGCCCCAACAGAAAAACAUAUUCGUUGCAUCUCCUGCAGGAAAUCAGCAACUUGGCAAUGAGAAACCGUCAUCACCCUGAACUUUCACUUUUCUCCAGUGGACUUGGGUUCAAAACAGCCUCCCUCAGCUUCCUCCUCUCUCUCUGUAAAACAAGGUUCCUUCCUCUCCUUUGUUUGUGGGACUUGCCUAUGGCUUUUGCUAUAGCUUGCUUGUCCUGAAUUGCCAUUCUUCCGCUAUUCCUGAAUAAACGCUUUUUGCUGGAAAAAAACA